AAAAAACGAAGUACUAGUGGAUGUUAAUUAAAACAGGAAAUAUAAAAUUUAAUUGAAAAUCAAAUAUUGAUGUAAUCUCAAUUUUUUUCAAUUAUUUUUUUUGUUUCGACGCACUAAAAUGCCUUGUACAGUUUACAUCGGAGUGUAUGUAACGUACAUAAAUUCAAAAACCAGUCUUUCCCUCACACUAAACCAAUACGCACAGCUUCCAAUAAAUUUGCUUUAUUUAUCAACAGAAAAUUAAACAAUGUUAAAACCCAGUAAUCUGUAUUCUGUAUCCACAGACUAUAAAGAUAGGUCUAGAGAAAAAGCUUUUACUGAUCUCUCUUCCAAUCUUUUUUAUCUGUGAUUGUAUCUUAAUAUGGUCUUGAUAUUUGUACAUUAAAUACUCAGGGUUAUUUUGAACUAACACUUGAAAUUUUAGG